GGAUAUCCCAGCUCACAGCACUCCUUCACCACUAUUACCCAAUUGAGAUCGACCCACACCGGACCGUCAAGGAGAAGCUACCUCAUAUGGUGGAAUGGUGGACCAAAGCGCACAAUCUCCUAUGUCAGCAGAAGAUUCAGAAGUUUCAGAUAGCCCAGGUGGUUAGAGAGUCCAAUGCAAUGCUCAGGGAGGGAUACAAGACCUUCUUCAACACACUCUACCAUAACAACAUUCCCCUUUUCAUCUUUUCUGCGGGCAUUGGUGAUAUCCUGGAAGAAAUUAUCAGACAGAUGAAAGUGUUCCACCCCAACAUCCACAUCGUGUCUAACUACAUGGAUUUUAAUGAAGAUGGUUUUCUCCAGGGAUUUAAGGGCCAGCUCAUACACACAUACAACAAGAACAGCUCUGUGUGUGAGAACUCUGGUUACUUCCAGCAACUUGAGGGCAAAACCAAUGUCAUCUUGCUGGGAGACUCCAUCGGGGACCUCACCAUGGCCGAUGGGGUUCCUGGUGUGCAGAACAUUCUCAAGAUUGGCUUCCUGAAUGACAAGGUGGAGGAGCGGCGGGAGCGCUACAUGGACUCCUAUGACAUCGUGCUGGAGAAGGACGAGACUCUGGAUGUGGUCAACGGGCUACUGCAGCACAUCCUGUGCCAGGGGGUCCAGCUGGAGAUGCAAGGCCCCUGAAGGCACAGGCUUCACCCGGCCUGCAGGCCGUGGUGAGGAGGGGGCGCCUCCCCAGAGUGCGCUCCCCCGUGAACACAGAGCAGAGGCCAGGGUGGCCAGCAGUGGCUGGGUCCUUCCAUGCUCCCUCUCCGUCCUCCUUUCCCCGAGCACCUUCAUCACCAGAGGCUUGAAGGAACCCCGCCAUGUGGCAGGGCACAAGCACUGUUCCUGGUGAACCUUGGACCACAGCAUGUCAGUGCUCUAGGGAUUGUCUGUUCCAGGGAUUUUUUUCAAAAUUUUUAAACAUGGGAAGUUGUUCUUCAAACAAAUAUAAUGUGUGAAACAGAUGAAAAUUUUUAAAAUGAAAAAAAA
rnacentral:sRNA from 1 species